rnacentral:rRNA from 1 species
AACGCUGGCGGCAUGCCUUACACAUGCAAGUCGAACGGGCAGCACGGGAGCAAUCCUGGUGGCGAGUGGCGAACGGGUGAGUAAUAUAUCGGAACGUGCCCAGUCGUGGGGGAUAACGUAGCGAAAGCUACGCUAAUACCGCAUACGAUCUAUGGAUGAAAGCGGGGGAUCGCAAGACCUCGCGCGAUUGGAGCGGCCGAUAUCAGAUUAGGUAGUUGGUGAGGUAAAGGCUCACCAAGCCGACGAUCUGUAGCUGGUCUGAGAGGACGACCAGCCACACUGGGACUGAGACACGGCCCCAGACUCCUACGGGAGGCAGCAGUGGGGAAUUUUGGACAAUGGGCGCAAGCCUGAUCCAGCAAUGCCGCGUGCAGGAUGAAGGCCUUCGGGUUGUAAACUGCUUUUGUACGGAACGAAACGGUGAGCUCUAAUACAGUUUGCUAAUGACGGUACCGUAAGAAUAAGCACCGGCUAACUACGUG